CAGUCGCCGCGGGAAUACGAGGGGGGCAAGCGUUGUUCGGAAUUAUUGGGCGUAAAGCGUGCGUAGGCGGUGAGUUAAGUCUGCUGUGAAAUCCCCGGGCUCAACCUGGGAACUGCAUCCAAAACUGGCGAGCUAGAGUAUGGUAGAGGGUGGUGGAAUUUCCUGUGUAGCGGUGAAAUGCGUAGAUAUAGGAAGGAACAUCAGUGGCGAAGGCGACCACCUGGACUGAUACUGACACUGAGGUGCGAAAGCGUGGGGAGCAAACAGGAUUAGAUACCCCCGUAGUCCCUGUCUCUUAUAC
rnacentral:rRNA from 1 species